GCUCAACCCCCCAUCGAGUUAUUAACAUGUUCCUGUUAGUUUUUGAGGGAUGGCCUCUGAAGAAACCAUUGGAAUAUUAAUGAAAGUUUUAUGAUGAGAUAAAAAUUCAAAAACUAAAACAAAAACCAUGCAUUAGCCAAAAAUAACUGUAGGAUACAAUUUCUAUGGCUACUAAAAUAUUAUUUUGGUUUUCAUUAAGCUGAAAAGUAAAAUGGUUAUCUUGAAAGGAGGUAAAUUGAGUUUAGCCCAGAUACAUUCAUUGAGAAGAAGCACAAAUCUCACUUUUUCACUUUCUUUUUUUUUCUUUUUUAAAGAUUUUUAUUUAUUUAUUCAUGAGAGACACAGAGAGAGAGGCAGAGACACAGACAGAGGAAGAAGCAGGCUCCAUGCAAGGAGCCAGACGUGGGACUCGAUACCGGGUCUCCAGGAUCACGCCCUGGGCAGAAGACAGGCGUCAAACCGCGGGGCCACCCAGGAUCCCCUCUUUUUCACUUUCUAUCAUCAAAAAUGAAUGGUAGCUUGUCCACAAUGGUCUUAUCCCUUGGCCUCACCAGACCCUUCCAGGGUGGAAUGGACAAGAGUGGAAGAAAGCACAGGGAACAGUGUUCGGGGCCACGCAGAUGGACAGAGGUCCCCAAGAGUGGCAGCCACUGAGGCGGCUCUGUAAUUUGAUGAAAAUUUGGAAAGAGAAAUGUCUGAGGACCCAUUUUGUUCUUUCA
rnacentral:lncRNA from 12 species